rnacentral:other from 1 species
UGGCCCCUACGUUGCGCGUGGCGGGGUUCUCUCCAAGCCGAACAAUCCAUUUUUGGGAGCUGAGUCCAAGAGGACGGUGUGCACGUUCCGCCUCCGGCGGAAAAGCCUAAAGUCCCCAUCUCGGUACCCACCUGGUUUGACCAGGUUUUGAGUAAACCCUGUCACGGCAAACGUGGGGGCUUU